UACAGAGACUGCAAGCGUUAUUCGGAUUCACUGGGCGUAAAGGGUGCGCAGGCGGCCAAGUGUGUGAGUCGUGAAAGCCCGAUGCUUAACAUCGGAAUUGCACCUCAAACUACAUGGCUAGAGCAUUGGAGAGGGUAGCGGAAUUCACGGUGUAGCAGUGAAAUGCGUAGAUAUCGGGAGGAACACCAGAGGCGAAGGCGGCUACCUGGACAAUUGCUGACGCUCAGGCACGAAAGCGUGGGGAGCAAAAGGG
rnacentral:rRNA from 1 species